GAUGAACGCUGGCGGCGUGCUUAACACAUGCAAGUCGAACGAGAAAUGUAGACGGAAACCUUCGGGCGGAAGCCUUCAUUUCGAGUGGCGGACGGGUGAGUAACGCGUGGGUAACCUGCCUCAUACAGGGGGAUAACAGUUGGAAACGACUGUUAAUACCGCAUAGGACCACAGCAUCGCAUGAUGCGGGGGUAAAAACUCCGGUGGUAUGAGAUGGACCCGCGUUCGAUUAGCCAGUUGGCGGGGUAACGGCCCACCAAAGCGACGAUCGAUAGCCGAUCUGAGAGGAUGACCGGCCACAUUGGGACUGAGACACGGCCCAAACUCCUACGGGAGGCAGCAGUGGGGAAUAUUGCACAAUGGGGGAAACCCUGAUGCAGCGACGCCGCGUGAGUGAAGAAGUACUUCGGUAUGUAAAGCUCUAUCAGCAGGGAAGAAAAUGACGGUACCUGAGUAAGAAGCCCCGGCUAACUACGUG
rnacentral:rRNA from 1 species